rnacentral:rRNA from 1 species
AGUAACACGUAAACAACCUGCCUUCAGGAUGGGGACAACAGACGGAAACGACUGCUAAUACCGAAUAAGUUCCAAGGGCCGCAUGGCCCAUGGAAGAAAAGGUGGCCUCUACCUGUAAGCUAUCGCCUGAGGAGGGGUUUGCGUCUGAUUAGCUGGUUGGGGGGUAACGGCCCACCAAGGCGACGAUCAGUAGCCGGUCUGAGAGGAUGAACGGCCACACUGGAACUGAGACACGGUCCAG